rnacentral:tRNA from 1 species
GGGGAUGUAGCUCAGUGGUAGAGAUCUUGCUUAGCAUGCAUGAGACUCUGGGUUCAAUCCCUAGUACCA